CGGCACGGGUGAGUAACACGUAUGCAACCUGCCUGCCACAGCCGGAUAAUCGGGAGAAAUUCCGUCUAAUACGGCAUAAUGCAUCGACGGACAUCCUGUUGGUGCCAAAGGUUAAUUCCGGUGGCGGAUGGGCAUGCGUCGCAUUAGUUAGUUGGCGGUGUAACGGACCACCAAGACGACGAUGCGUAGGGGUUCUGAGAGGAAGGUCCCCCACACUGGUACUGAGACACGGACCAGACUCCUACGGGAGGCAGCAG
rnacentral:rRNA from 1 species